rnacentral:rRNA from 1 species
UACGUAGGGGGCAAGCGUUGUCCGGAAUUAUUGGGCGUAAAGAGCGCGUAGGCGGUCCGAUAAGUCGGCUGUGAAAGUCAGGGGCUCAACCCUUGAAAGCCGGCCGAUACUGUCGGACUAGAGUCCGGAAGAGGCAAGUGGAAUUCCCGGUGUAGCGGUGAAAUGCGCAGAUAUCGGGAGGAACACCAAUAGCGAAGGCAGCUCGCUGGGACGGUACUGACGCUAAGGCGCGAAAGCGUGGGGAGCGAACAGG